AUUGAUGCCAUGCUUCCAGGAAAAGCCUCUAAGCUUCAGAUAGUCAGGAAUCGUACCCCAAACCGACACAGGUGGUCGGGUAGAGAAUACCAAGGCGCUUGAGAGAACUCGGGUGAAGGAACUAGGCAAAAUGGUACCGUAACUUCGGGAGAAGGUACGCUCUUGAUGGUGAAGUCCCUCGCGGAUGGAGCUGACGAGAGUCGCAGAUACCAGGUGGCUGCAACUGUUUAUUAAAAACACAGCACUGUGCAAAAUCGCAAGAUGACGUAUACGGUGUGACGCCUGCCCGGUGCCGGAAGGUUAAUUGAUGGGGUUAGCGCAAGCGAAGCUCUUGAUCGAAGCCCCGGUAAACGGCGGCCGUAACUAUAACGGUCCUAAGGUAGCGAAAUUCCUUGUCGGGUAAGUUCCGACCUGCACGAAUGGCGUAAUGAUGGCCACGCUGUCUCCACCCGAGACUCAGUGAAAUUGAAAUCGCUGUGAAGAUGCAGUGUACCCGCGGCUAGACGGAAAGACCCCGUGAACCUUUACUACAGCUUGGCACUGAACAUUGAACCUACAUGUGUAGGAUAGGUGGGAGGCUAUGAAGACGUGACGCCAGUUGCGUUGGAGCCGUCCUUGAAAUACCACCCUUGUAUGUUUGAUGUUCUAACUUAGACCCGUUAUCCGGGUUGAGGACAGUGCCUGGUGGGUAGUUUGACUGGGGCGGUCUCCUCCCAAAGAGUAACGGAGGAGCACGAAGGUGGGCUAAUCACGGUUGGACAUCGUGAGGUUAGUGCAAUGGCAUAAGCCCGCUUAACUGCGAGAAUGACGGUUCGAGCAGGUGCGAAAGCAGGUCAUAGUGAUCCGGUGGUUCUGUAUGGAAGGGCCAUCGCUCAACGGAUAAAAGGUACUCCGGGGAUAACAGGCUGAUACCGCCCAAGAGUUCAUAUCGACGGCGGUGUUUGGCACCUCGAUGUCGGCUCAUCACAUCCUGGGGCUGAAGUCGGUCCCAAGGGUAUGGCUGUUCGCCAUUUAAAGUGGUACGCGAGCUGGGUUUAGAACGUCGUGAGACAGUUCGGUCCCUAUCUGCCGUGGGCGUUGGAAGAUUGAAGGGGGCUGCUCCUAGUACGAGAGGACCGGAGUGGACGAACCUCUGGUGUUCGGGUUGUGUCGCCAGACGCAUUGCCCGGUAGCUAAGUUCGGAAUUGAUAAGCGCU
rnacentral:rRNA from 1 species